CUCUGAUCCAUUUACAGGCCCCCUGCAGAAGGUCAUGAUGCCCUCAGUCUUUACACUUGAACUCUGGGACUCUCUAGUUACCUGGAGAAGAGGUGGCACUGUUUUCUAACAUGGAGACAGACACAACACAAACAAACAUAUAAAAGCUAAAAUCUGAAAAAGCAAGUAAAUAAGCAUGAUAAUUACCAACUUAUGCAAUAAAGGAUAUAGGCAAGGUGACGUCAGAAAGAGUAAUUUGGAGGUGGUGCUAUUUAAGAUAACAUCAUCAGGGAGGCCCUCCCGGAGACGGGGACAUUUGAGCUGAGAUGCAAAAGAUGGUAGACACACAAAGAGCAGAGAAGGAUAUUUUAGAGAGCAGGGGAGUGGAGGAGCCAAGAUGGCCGAAUAGGAACAGCUCUGGUCUACAGCUCCCAGCGUAAGCGACGCAGAAGACAGGUGAUUUCUGCAUUUCCAUCUGAGGAUCCUACAGGACAUUCAAUCAUCACGUCUCCUUAGGCCCCUCUCAACUGUGGCAGUUUCUCAGACUUCGUUGUUUUUGCUCUUUCUCUUUCACGUGGGGAGAGUGUGGAACGGCUCAGUUUCUCCAGCAAGGAAUCCUCCUGUCCUGUCUAAAAGGCAACCUGCAUCCUAGGAGCAAAGAGAGGGAAAAGCACUGAGGAGUACGGCCAUGCCAUAGGCAGAUUUGCAAUUAAUUCUCUCGCUUGCAGCCCUAUGACUAAUUCUGGGCCAGGCCGUGCAUAUUGUCUCCAAAUCCUGAGGCUCUUGCCUCCCAUUCUCCAAAGAAUAAUCAGCCUCCUGCCUGGGGGGGUGAUUACACAGCUGCUAGGGUUCUAUGCCUGAGCCGUAAGUGAGGUACACAGACUGUUUCCCAUGUUAACAUAUUCUUCAGUUUAUUCCCACACUCUCUGCUGUACUGGAUUCCUCAGUUUCGGAGCUUCUCCAGGAGUCUACAGGACUAACUUAUUGUCUCCUUGUUAGUACCAACUUCUUGCUUGUCCUUUAAGAUAUGAUAUCCUCAAUCUGGUUAUAUCAGACACCUUUCCUACAUUCCUUUCCUGUCUUUUGAAAUAUGAUUGAAAUAUUUCAUCAAUUAAUGUCUUCUCUCCUAUUCUCUUUGUACUUGCAAGCUUAAGCCUCUUUUAUCUUUUCAAAUAUUUUAGCAGGCUCUCUGAAAGGAGAGGCUAUAAACUUCUAUGUCUAUUCUUCUAUCUUUAAAUUCAACAAGAGGCAGAACACUUUCAUGGUUAAGUUAGGCCUGCAUUUAAAUCCUGCCUCUGUCACAUACUUUUCUAAGACUUAGAAAUUUGCUAACCUCUGGAAACCUUGACCUCCUUUCUGUAAAAUGAGAACCUACCUCAUUGGGUUGUUGUGAGGAUCAAAUAAAAUAUGUAUGGUUGGCACGUA
rnacentral:lncRNA from 1 species